AGAAAGUUAGUCUAACCAAGACAGUUGAUUUCGACUCAACAAACCAUAGCUCACAUCUAUGACUUUCUC
rnacentral:tRNA from 1 species